AAUUGUAUAUAGCCGAAUUUCAGGUGAAAACGGGGGAACCAUAAGAAGUAAUGAAAAGAUGAGUAUACGCCAUAGGCAUUAUCUUUAUUCAUCAGGGGUGAAUUUCGUUCUAGGAACGAAUAGGGCAGCCUGCACAGUCCGAAUCCGUCAGCUAACCUCGUAGGCUAAUUUACUGCAGGA
rnacentral:sRNA from 2 species